AUACGGAGGGUGCAAGCGUUGUUCGGAUUUAUUGGGCGUAAAGCGAGUGUAGGCGGUUUGACAAGUCGAAUGUGAAAUCCCGAGGCCCAACCUCGGAACUGCAUCCGAAACUGUCAGGCUAGAGUCCCGGAGAGGAUGGCGGAAUUCCCGGUGUAGGGGUGAAAUCCGUAGAUAUCGGGAGGAACACCAGUGGCGAAGGCGGCCAUCUGGACGGUGUCUGACGCUGAGACUCGAAAGUGUGGGUAGCAAACAGGAUUAGAAACCCCAGUAGUCC
rnacentral:rRNA from 1 species